rnacentral:lncRNA from 1 species
UCCCUCCGUCUCCUUGACUCUGGGUGGGCUGUGUGACUUUUCCUUGCUCAAUAGAAUGAGAAGGAGGUGGCGCACCGGCUACAAGGCUAGACCGGGGGCUCGCAUAUCUCCACUUGCAGCUGCCACUGCCAUUAGAAGAACUUGCUCAGCCAGCUCCUGGGCCCCAGGAAAAGGACAAGUGUCACCCAGAACAGAGCCACCUCCAGCUGCACUCAGCUCCAGAAGCUGGCCCAGCCGGUCCAGUACACGCUUUUAAAUAAUGUCCUCUACGUGCCGGUGUGGAAGUAGCCCGGAUGCAAUUGAAUGAACAACAGACGGUGCUUUCCAGGACGGCGCUGUGCUUUCCAGGAUGGUGCUGUGCUUUCAUUCAUUUGGGUAGCUCCUCUGUGAGCCUCCCAGCGCCGACUGCAGAGCCCCCACUCUCCAGCCUGCAAGACCCCGAAAUUCAAGCCACACAAAGAAAGGAGGAGGGGGCCGUUGGCAUUUACUGAACCUUAUAAAACUGUCAGCAAAACAGCCCUUAGGCUUGGACUCCCUGCUAGCCGGGUUUUACGGUGCUGAAGUCAGCAUCUUGAUUCAGCUGCAUAAAUAAUCUCCUGCAGUCCUGCAAGGCCUGGGGUAGGAGAGGGUAUGGGGACCAGGGCACUCUGUAAGGGCUGGGAUAGGAACCCCAGGGAAUAAGACAGACCAACUGCGGGACUUCAGACUCCACUGCAGCCGGGAUCGGGUUGUUGUUAAUUUCUUAAGCAAUUUCUAAAUUCUGUAUUGACUCUCUCAUGCAUGUAACUGAUCCUUAGAUAUUGUCAGCCAAAUGACUAAAGGAUUUAGAAAU